rnacentral:rRNA from 1 species
UGGGGAAUUUUGGACAAUGGGGGAAACCCUGAUCCAGCCAUCCCGCGUGUGCGAUGAAGGCCUUCGGGUUGUAAAGCACUUUUGGUAGGAAAGAAACGUCAUGGGUUAAUACCCCGUGAAACUGACGGUACCUGCAGAAUAAGCACCGGCUAACUACGUGCCAGCAGCCGCGGUAAUACGUAGGUUGCAAGCGUUAAUCGGAAUUACUGGGUGUAAAGCGUGCGCAGGCGGUUCGGAAAGAAAGAUGUGAAAUCCCAGAGCUCAACUUUGGAACUGCACUUUUAACUACCGGGCUAGAGUGUGUCAGAGGGAGGUGGAAUUCCGCGUGUAGCAGUGAAAUGCGUCGAUAUGCGGAGGAACACCGAUGGCGAAGGCAGCCUCCUGGGAUAACACUGACGCUCAUGCACGAAAGCAUGGGGAGCAAACAGG